UGGGGAAUAUUGCACAAUGGGCGCAAGCCUGAUGCAGCCAUGCCGCGUGUGUGAAGAAGGCCUUCGGGUUGUAAAGCACUUUCAGCGAGGAGGAAGGCAGUCGUGUUAAUAGCACGAUUGAUUGACGUUACUCGCAGAAGAAGCACCGGCUAACUCCGUGCCAGCAGCCGCGGUAAUACGGAGGGUGCAAGCGUUAAUCGGAAUUACUGGGCGUAAAGCGCACGCAGGCGGUUUGUUAAGUCAGAUGUGAAAUCCCCGCGCUUAACGUGGGAACUGCAUUUGAAACUGGCAAGCUAGAGUCUUGUAGAGGGGGGUAGAAUUCCAGGUGUAGCGGUGAAAUGCGUAGAGAUCUGGAGGAAUACCGGUGGCGAAGGCGGCCCCCCUGGACAAAGACUGACGCUCAGGUGCGAAAGCG
rnacentral:rRNA from 1 species